CAGUAUCCGGGCGAUGGGGCCCGCCUGAUCCAACCGCCGGAGAAACGCCGACCCGCUGGCAUCGCCGCCGGCAGGGUCGAGCGUCGGUCGGCUGACGGUCCCUGCGACCAG
rnacentral:ncRNA from 21 species